rnacentral:rRNA from 1 species
GAUGAACGCUAGCGGCAGGCCUAAUACAUGCAAGUCGAACGAGAUUAAGAGGCUUGCUUCUUAUGAAAGUGGCGCACGGGUGCGUAACGCGUAUGCAACCUACCUUAAUCAGGGGGAUAGCCCGAAGAAAUUCGGAUUAAGACCGCAUAAAAACACAGGAUAGCAUUAUCCAAUGUUCAAAUAUUUAUAGGAUUAAGAUGGGCAUGCGUGUCAUUAGCUAGUUGGCGGGGUAACGGCCCACCAAGGCGACGAUGACUAGGGGAUCUGAGAGGAUGACCCCCCACACUGGUACUGAGACACGGACCAGACUCCUACGGGAGGCAGCAGUAAGGAAUAUUGGUCAAUGGAGGGAACUCGGAACCAGCCAUGCCGCGUGCAGGAAGACAGCCCUCUGGGUCGUAAACUGCUUUUAUUCGGGAAUAAACCUUUCUACGUGUAGGAAGCUGAAUGUACCGAAGGAAUAAGGAUCGGCUAACUCCGUG